rnacentral:rRNA from 1 species
GGUCAGCGGUGGAUGGGUGAGUAACACGUGGGCAACCUGCCCGCAAGACCGGGAUAACUCCGGGAAACCGGAGCUAAUACCGGAUAACACCAAAGACCGCAUGGUCUUUGGUUGAAAGGCGGCUUCGGCUGUCACUUGCGGAUGGGCCCGCGGCGCAUUAGCUAGUUGGUGAGGUAACGGCUCACCAAGGCGACGAUGCGUAGCCGGCCUGAGAGGGUGACCGGCCACACUGGGACUGAGACACGGCCCAGACUCCUACGGGAGGCAGCAGUAGGGAAUCUUCCGCAAUGGACGAAAGUCUGACGGAGCGACGCCGCGUGAGCGAAGAAGGCCUUCGGGUCGUAAAGCUCUGUUGUGAGGGACGAAGGAGCGCCGUUUGAAUAAGGCGGCGCGGUGACGGUACCUCACGAGAAAGCCCCGGCUAACUACGUGCCAGCAGCCGCGGUAAUACGUAGGGGGCGAGCGUUGUCCGGAAUUAUUGGGCGUAAAGCGCGCGCAGGCGGUCCUUUAAGUCUGAUGUGAAAGCCCACGGCUCAACCGUGGAGGGUCAUUGGAAACUGGGGGACUUGAGUGCAGGAGAGGAGAGCGGAUUCCACGUGUAGCGGUGAAAUGCGUAGAGAUGUGGAGGAACACCAGUGGCGAAG